rnacentral:rRNA from 1 species
CAUCUUCUGCAAUGGACGAAAGUCUGACGGAGCAACGCCGCGUGAGUGAUGAAGGUCUUCGGAUCGUAAAACUCGGUUGUUAGGGAAUAACAAGUAUCGUUCGAAUAGGGCGUUACCUUGACGGUACCUAACCAUAAAGCCACGGCUCACUACGUCCCAGCAGCCGCGGUAAUACGUAGGUGGCAAGCGUUAUACGGAAUUAUUGGGCGUAAAGCGCGAGCAGGCGGUUUCUUAAGUCUGAUGUGAAGGCCCACGGCUCAACCGUGGAGGGUCAUAGGAAACUGGGAAGCUUGAGUGCAGAAAAGGAAAGUGGAAUUCCAUGUGUAGCGGUGAAAUGCGUAGAAAUAUGGAGGAACACCAGUGGCGAAGGCGACUCUCUGGUCUGCAACUGACGCUGAGGCGCGAAAGCGUGGGGAGCGAACA